rnacentral:rRNA from 1 species
AACGAACGCUGGCGGCAUGCCUAACACAUGCAAGUCGAACGAGACCUUCGGGUCUAGUGGCGCACGGGUGCGUAACGCGUGGGAACCUGCCCUUAGGUUCGGAAUAACUCCCCGAAAGGGGUGCUAAUACCGGAUAAUGUCUUCGGACCAAAGAUUUAUCGCCUUUGGAUGUGCCCGCGUUGGAUUAGCUAGUUGGUAGGGUAAAAGCCUACCAAGGCGACGAUCCAUAGCUGGUCUGAGAGGAUGAUCAGCCACACUGGGACUGAGACACGGCCCAGACUCCUACGGGAGGCAGCAGUGGGGAAUAUUGGACAAUGGGCGAAAGCCUGAUCCAGCAAGGCCGCGUGAGUGAUGAAGGCCUUAGGGUUGUAAAGCUCUUUUACCCGGGAUGAUAAUGACAUUACCGGGAGAAUAAGCUCCGGCUAACUCCGUG